rnacentral:rRNA from 15 species
AAAUUGAAGAGUUUGAUCAUGGCUCAGAUUGAACGCUGGCGGCAGGCCUAACACAUGCAAGUCGAACGGUAACAGGAAGCAGCUUGCUGCUUCGCUGACGAGUGGCGGACGGGUGAGUAAUGUCUGGGAAACUGCCUGAUGGAGGGGGAUAACUACUGGAAACGGUGGCUAAUACCGCAUAACGUCGCAAGACCAAAGAGGGGGAC